GACGAACGCUGGCGGCGUGCCUAAUACAUGCAAGUCGAACGCACUCUCGUUUAGAUUGAAGGAGCUUGCUCCUGAUUGAUAAACAUUUGAGUGAGCGGCGGACGGGUGAGUAACACGUGGGUAACCUGCCCUAAAGUGGGGGAUAACAUUUGGAAACAGAUGCUAAUACCGCAUAAAACCUAAACACCGCAUGGUGUAGGGUUGAAAGAUGGUUUCGGCUAUCACUUUAGGAUGGACCCGCGGUGCAUUAGUUAGUUGGUGAGGUAAAGGCUCACCAAGACCGUGAUGCAUAGCCGACCUGAGAGGGUAAUCGGCCACACUGGGACUGAGACACGGCCCAGACUCCUACGGGAGGCAGCAGUAGGGAAUCUUCCACAAUGGACGAAAGUCUGAUGGAGCAAACGCCGCGUGAGUGAAGAAGUUUUCGGAUCGUAAAACUCUGUUGUUGGAGAAGAAAUGUAUCUGAUAGUAACUGAUCAGGUAGUGACGGUA
rnacentral:rRNA from 1 species